rnacentral:rRNA from 1 species
AUACGUAGGCGGCAAGCGUUGUCCGGAAUUAUUGGGCGUAAAGGGAGCGCAGGCGGGAAACUAAGCGGAUCUUAAAAGUGCGGGGCUCAACCCCGUGAUGGGGUCCGAACUGGUUUUCUUGAGUGCAGGAGAGGAAAGCGGAAUUCCCAGUGUAGCGGUGAAAUGCGUAGAUAUUGGGAAGAACACCAGUGGCGAAGGCGGCUUUCUGGACUGUAACUGACGCUGAGGCUCGAAAGCUAGGGUAGCGAACGGGAUUAGAUACCCCGGUAGUCCUAGCCGUAAACGAUGGAUACUAGGUGUGGGAGGUAUCGACUCCUUCCGUGCCGGAGUUAACGCAAUAAGUAUCCCGCCUGGGGAGUACGGCCGCAAGGUUGAAACUCAAAGGAAUUGACGGGGGCCCGCACAAGCGGUGGAGUAUGUGGUUUAAUUCGACGCAACGCGAAGAACCUUACCAAGACUUGACAUUGAUUGAAAGCUUAGAGAUAAGUUCCUUCUCUUCGGAGAACAAGAAAACAGGUGGUGCAUGGCUGUCGUCAGCUCGUGUC